GGGGAAUUUUGGACAAUGGGCGCAAGCCUGAUCCAGCCAUGCCGCGUGCGGGAAGAAGGCCUUCGGGUUGUAAACCGCUUUUGGCAGGAACGAAACGGCGCGAGCUAACACCUCGCGCUAAUGACGGUACCUGCAGAAUCAGCACCGGCUAACUACGUGCCAGCAGCCGCGGUAAUACGUAGGGUGCGAGCGUUAAUCGGAAUUACUGGGCGUAAAGCGUACGCAGGCGGCUAUGCAAGACAGAUGUGAAAUCCCCGGGCUUAACCUGGGAACUGCAUUUGUGACUGCAUAGCUAGAGUUUGUCAGAGGGGGGUGGAAUUCCACGUGUAGCAGUGAAAUGCGUAGAGAUGUGGAGGAACACCGAUGGCGAAGGCAGCCCCCUGGGACCUGACUGACGCUCAUGUACGAAAGCGUGGGGAGCAAA
rnacentral:rRNA from 1 species